GCUGUACAAAGCAGAAAAUUGAUUUUCAUUACUGAUUAUACCUCCCUGCCCUUACUCUCAAAUCUUGCAGGGUACAAACCUGCUCCCAGAUCAAUCUUCUUGCUUUGCUGGAGUCUUGUAAAGUGCUCACUAAUGCUUUCUGUGAGAGAUUCCGUCAUCUUCAAGGUGGGGAGGAUGAUCACUAUUACAGAAGAGCAUAAGGGCUUACCAGCUCUUUAUGUCUCAGGCUAGACAAGGGCAUACAGAAAGCACAAACUUCUUUCAUCGCAGUUUAUUGCUCCCUUCAGAAGAACAACAUUCCUACUUCUGCUGACCCAACUGAUGAAGGUCGCUUUCUGCAAAUGGAUAUUAUUUCAGUGCACAUAUUUCCUGCCUGGUUGUGAGCAGCUCCUUCUGCAUAUGUUGGACGUGGUGCUCAGCACUUGGACUUCAGCACCUCUGAGCUGUGAGGACAGCUCUCCAAAUUGGAGAGUGGGGACCACUUGGAAUAAUCCUUUGGUCAAGUGAGUUGGAUCACGAGAAAGCAGAAAGCAGAAAGGGAGCUCCCAUUUGCAAUGGAAGUAGACUGAACAUAACAGAAGGAUGUCUUUAGCUCUACAAUUUGCAACUGAUUAUGAAGCACACAAGGAUUUCAUUUCCUGUAACAUCACCCAUAAAUCACUGCAUCUUACCAGGAUUAAUUUAUCCAAAUAAUGAUCAGAGACUUCUACAGGCUGCACUCAGGUGACACGCAGCUUUCAGCUGUACAGGAGAGAACCCUGCAGGCCUUGGCAUCUCUAGAGAGUCCUAAAAAUAAAUGUUGAAGUGGAGUGUCUGGGAAGAUUGAUGUACCUGCUGCAGCAAUAUCAAAUAAUGCAUUUACUGUACAAGGUCCUGCCUGCCCAGAAGGCUGAUCUUGACUUACUGCUGCACCUACAUUAAAUUCAGGUUUUUCAUAAGAAGGCCAGAAAACAUUCUGAAAAUCUUCUACUGUUUAAGUAUUGAAAAAAAAAUGCAGGUAGAGACAAGUAGUGCUUUGUGCUGUUACGAUGCAAAUAUUGUAUUGUCAGAGAAGUAGGUAACUACCUUGCUGUUAAACCUUAAAAUACAAAUUCAGAAGCUUUUGCUAAUUCAUCCUUUGUGACUCAUUCUGCAGAGUUCUCAACACUGAUUACUUAGACAUCCUGAGACCAGCCGUGCUUCAUAUAUGUCCUUUGCAAAGUGUUCUACUGAAAUUGCUUACUCGCUAAUUAUUCUAAUCAGAUGACAAUUUCCUGAAUGGCAUUGUUGAAUACCUUGGCUUGUUCACUCACUUUUGUUGCCCAGUGUAACUGCCAUUGCAAUAUGAUGAAAUUUUUUCUUUCCGCUCAAGACUUUUAUGUUUCAUUUCAUGUUUGUAUUACUGAUUUGGAGUCAGCUCUGUUAUUACUGACAGACAUUCAUGUGACUUUUUCCAAGUGAUUUCCAAGCAAAACAUUCUGUGAAGAAGAUUGGCAUAAAUAUUCUUUGCUAUAAGAAAAAGAGUGGGAAAGAGAGAUUUAAUUAUCAAGACUAAAUUGCUGUCUCAGACUUCCAGUGCCUUACAAAUACUCAAAGAAGUCUCUUUAAUUAAAGUAAAAUUAUACUUUAUGUUCAUUUUUUCCUUUUUUUUUUUUUUUUCCUAUGUGUGCUUGUUUGUUUUUCCUGACAGGCUUAUUUCUUUUUCUGUGUACCUGCCAAGAGAAAAAGUUUGUUAGAUGGUUUAUUUAAAAGUAAGCAAGCUUGAUUUUGAAUAAACUGUGAUGAAGUGGUUUCAUGCUUUCCUACUAUCCAUUUUUAGCUCUUUCAGGCCUACAAAAUUGUAACAUUUUGUACAGACAUUUUCUGGUCAUGACUGUGCCCCAAGCUGGUUACCUGGG
ensembl:lncRNA